GAUGAACGCUAGCGGCAGGCCUAAUACAUGCAAGUCGAACGGUGUCUUCGGACAUAGUGGCGCACGGGUGCGUAACACGUAUGCAACCUACCUUACAUUGGGGGAUAGCCUUUCGAAAGGGAGAUUAAUACCGCAUAAGACAGUAGCUGGGCAUCCAGCAGCUGUUAAAGAUUUAUCGAUGUAAGCUGGGCAUGCGUCCAAUUAGCUAGUUGGUGAGGUAACGGCUCACCAAGGCAAUGAUUGGUAGGGGAACUGAGAGGUCAAUCCCCCACACUGGCACUGAGAUACGGGCCGGACUCCUACGGGAGGCAGCAGUAGGGAAUAUUGGGCAAUGGACGCAAGUCUGACCCAGCCAUGCCGCGUGCAGGAUGAAGGCGUUAUGCGUUGUAAACUGCUUUUAUACAGGAAGAAACGACUCUUGCGAGAGGCAUUGACGGUACUGUAUGAAUAAGCACCGGCUAACUUCGUGCCAGCCGCCGCGGUAAAAC
rnacentral:rRNA from 1 species